rnacentral:sRNA from 1 species
GAUUCUGCCCUACGGGGAAGGAUGAGAAGCUUCGACUAAGGUUCGACUCGAGCGCCAGCGAGAGAACGUUGCCGCAGGCAAUGGCCCGAAGGGCGAGGAGCUAUAGCGACGAGUUAUCCUUCCCCCUCUAUUC